CUCCUCUGAUUAUGCAAGACGUUGUUGGAUAUUAAAAAAGAGACCCUCUUCCACUUUUAGGAAUUUAUCAUACAGAAAUAGUUGUUCAACUGUGUCAAGGAAAUGUGUGCAAGAUGUUUAUUUACUUGUAACAGUGAAAGUUUAGAAAUCUAAUUAUGCAACAAUAGGGGAAUAGUUCAAUAAAUUAUGAUCAGUCUGUGGAGGAUGUAGAUGGAAUCAUGGUUAAAAUCAUGGACUCUGGAGCUAGAAUGUCUGGCUUCAAGUCCUGCUCUGCUAUUUACUAGUUGUGUGACUAAACCUCAAUUUCCAUAUCUAUGAAAUGGAGACAUCUGUCCCUACUUACUACAGUGAUUGUGUGACUUUGAAUAACUUAUUACAUCUGCUUGAUCUCGUCUUUUCACCAGUAAGAUAAAAAUAGUAAUGUCUACCUCCCUGGAAAGAAAAUAAUAACUGUGUAAAUUGCCUAGUUUAAUGUCUGACAUAAGUAAUAGUAAUAAUAUCUCACAUUUAUUGCACCCUUGUAAUGUGUCAGGCAUUGUUCACUUUAUAUACUUUGAUGGAUUUCAUCUUCACAAGAGAUUUGGGAUGAUUUCAACUCCAGGUAAUAUAAAUCUAACCAAACGUGACAAAACAAUGAAUACAAUGUUAAAUCACAUAACAAGGACCACAGAGAUGGAUGAUCCAAGGUUGUUCAAUUCAGCAACUAGGUUACCUCAUCAGAAGCCCAGGUGUUUUCUAAAUCUUUCUGCUUUGCCGUCUUCCCUUGAUGUUGGUUUGCCUUCUUAGUCUGAACACUCACAUGCUUCCAAGAUGGCUGACGUGGUUACAGGUAUCAAAUGCAAAAGCUACAUUCAGAGGAGCAAGAAAUGUCUCUGUGUUUGUGUCUCUUUUAAGAAUGAGGGCAAUCUUCCCAGAAGCCUCCCAGGAGAUUAACCUUACAUAUUUUUUACUAGAGUUUUAUCAUACUCUUGUACUUAAGUAACUAUUGGCAGGGAAAAAAGGAUCACCACAAUUGGUUCAGGCUAAUUAAGAUUGACCUCCUGGAGGUGGGAAGGGACCUAGCGAUCCCUGGAGCAUUUGGUCAUUAGGAAGAGAGAGAGGAAAGUUAGGACUCUCUUGGAAAGAAUGAAGAGGGGCAGUGUUGCUCACAUUCCUGUUUAAUUCCUUCCUCUUGAGUGUGGACUGACUUGCUCCUAAUGAAUACAAUACAGGAGAAAGGAUGGGAUGUCACUUCCAUGACUAGGCUGUAAGAGACUCUGACUUCCAUCUGGCUGGCAUUUUAUCUCUCUGGCUCCUCUUGUGUGCUUACUUUGAUGAAGCCAAGUGGAAAGGUCCAUGUGACAAGGAACUGAGGAUAGCCUCUCGUCAACUACGAGGGAGGAACUGAGGCCUCAGUCUAAACAUAGAAAUGUCCAUGACACUAAAUAAACAUCCAGUGUGCUAGAUAGCUUCCUUCUGCCCUUACAAAGCCAUUCUCCAUACUGCUCGUGCUCCCAGGGGAUGAUCUGUAUGGUCUCUGUCAUGGGCUCUCUUGCUCUCUGGAUUCUAUUUGGGUUCUACCAAGGGAGGCACUGACUGGAGAUGAGAGGUAGAACAGAGUGAGGUCUAGGUGUUUAUUCUCCUAGCAAUGUCUCUGCAAAUGUGACCUUAUUUGGAAAUAGAGUCUUUGCAGAUGUAAUCAAGUUAAGAUGAGGUCAUACUGUAUUAGUGUGGGCCUUUAUCCAAUGACUGAUCUCCCUAUAAAAAGAAGGAAAUUUAGGGGCUUGCCCGGUGGUGCAGCAGUGAAGUGCGCACUUUCCAUUUUGGUGUCCUGGGGUUUGCCGGUUCGGAUCCCAGGUGUGGACAUGGCACCGCUUGGCAAGCCAUGCUGUGGUAGGCGUCCCACGUAUAAAGUAGAGGAAGAUGGGCAUGGAUGUUAGCUCAGGACCAGUCUUCCUCAGCAAAAAGAGGAGGAUUGGCAGCAGAUGUUAGCUCAGGGCUAAUCUUCCUCAAAAGAAAAAAAAAAAAAAGAAGGAAAUUUACUCACAGACACACAGGGAGAAGGCCAUGUGAUGAUGAAGUAAUAUGUCUACAAGUGAAGGAAUGCCAAGGAUUGUGAGCAGCCACGAGAAGGAGAGAGGCAUGGAACAGAUUCUCCCUCAGAGACUCCAGAAGGAACCAACCCUUCUGACAUCUUGAUUUUGGACUUCUAGCCUCCAGGACUGUGAAAGAAUACAUUUCUGUUAUUUUAAACUACCCAGUUUGUACAGUUUGUUUUAAUUUGUUAUGGCAGCCCUAGGAAACAAAUGCAUUGAUCAGUCAUUUUUCUUUGGUGUUAUGUUAGAAAAUCAUAACCUUGUGCUGAAUAGCUCCAUUACUAUUUUAAUGUGUUUUUCCUGAUUAUGCUAUUGAAACUAUAGAAAAGUCUAAAGAAAAAAUCACAAUUAGGAGGUAUUAUCCAUAAUACUCCCAUGGUUAUCUUUUUGAUAUAUUUCCAUUGAUCCCUUGCCUAAACAUGAUUUUACGUAACUUUCUCAUAUGAUAUACAGAAUUCUUCAUUCUGGCUUUUUCACUUAAAAUGAUAGGUAAAUAGGUAUUUACAGAGUAAGCAACUCAUCAUAGAUAUUUUGAUGGCUGCAUAAAAUGCAUUAUGUAGGUGUUCUAUAUUUUAUUUAACAGUUUAUCUAUUGUUGAAUAAUUGGAUUGUUUUUUCUCUCUCUCUUUUUUUUUUUUUUUGUUAUUGGAAACAAUCUGUGGUGCAGGGUACGAUGAAACAAAAGUCUUGUUUCCAGAAGGGGAUUUAAUCUGGCUAUUGGUGAUUGGGGUAGAUUAGAGAAAUAUAUGUUAACAGGAUUGUCCCACAAUCAGAGACCAGCGUCUCCCAACUAAUCCAGAUGUGACUGCAAAGGAAAAAUUUAGGAUGGGAGUAGAAAGAGCCUUCCAGGGGCUGUCCUUAAGUUACACAGCAGGGAGAGCAGACCCUGGAGUUGCCGGAUUACUCAGAACAAGAUCCGCAGGGACAUCUCCUGGAAGUGUGCCCUUUGCUCACUCUUUUAAUAAGUCCCAGCUGCUCUUGAUCCUCUUUGGGCUGUCACCCAGGGAGUUCCUGUAGGGAUCUUCCUAACUAACCUCCUGAGACUCAUUUAGUGUAAAAGCAAAACUCAGGCUGACCUUAACUGAUGUGAAGCAAAGCUGCCUGUGGGGAUUUCCACACUUGGAUCCCCUGGGAAUCUCUAAGCAGCAAGUACUAAUGAGGCCAUGAGGGUCUGCAUUUGACUCCUUUCUCUUCUCUUAGACCUAUUCCCGCAGACACCAGAGAAGGAGGGAGGAUGAGGGGAUCGGCCUGGGCAGAGACUGACUAGGACCCAAGUGCCUCCCCAGAGUGUGUGCAACACUAUUUUCAGGCUUCCCCAGGUAGAAAAGUUUGGAAGUUCAGAGUCAUCUCUAUUGGCCUAACUGGGAUGUGCUUAGAAAUUCUCUGUAUUAUAAUUCAUUGGGGAAUAUCGGUCUUCUACUUGAGGUUAUUCAAUCUGGAAAAAUAUCAAUUCAUUACUUGUAUCUUUCUUUGGUCUGCUUCAGAAAGUGAAGUAUGGCAAGCUAAUGCCUUGGACAAAGAACCUUGGUAAUGAGAUUGGUAAACUUUCCGCAUAUGAGCUCCUCCCCAAGAGGCUGAGUCACAGGGAAGUUAUUCAGGUGCCUAAUCUAUACAGACCCCAUCCCCUCACUCUAGAACUGGAAAAUGUUCAGAUCAUUCCCUCUUUCUUUGAUUCAAAAUAUAUAUUCAGUCUACUAUGUGCCAAGCAGCGUACUGUGUAUUAUGGGAGACAAAUGAAUAAAAUACAGUAUUUGCCUUAAGGUGGAUAAAAAUAUGGCAGGAAAUAGAAGUUGUUCAAAACAAUUGCUACAAGAGUUAGGGUACAUUAAGUACCACAAACGAGGCACAAACAGAAAUCAGAGGAUGUUCAUACAUGGGACACUAUACUCAAUUUCUGACUGGAGAGAUAAGGCCUGGGAGAUAAAUCCUUAAGAGAGGACUGGGCAUUUAACCUCAAAAUUUCAAAUGUCCUCUCUUUUCUUUCUUCAUGGUCACUGGCUUGGAUCAGAUCUUCAUUAUCUCAUUUAUUUAUUCAUUCACUCACUCAUUCAACGUUUUUUUAAAAAACCAUCAAAGUAUCAAAGUCAAGGCCAGGCAUAGGGCUAUGACAGACAACAACACAGAAAUGGCUCUUACCUUCAUGGUGCUUAUACUCUAGUUGAGGAGAUAAGUAAACAGACAAAUAAGAGUGAUGAGAGAAUCAAAGAAAGAGCUAGGCAGAGAAUAGCAGGAGGAGAAGUUUUAGAAAGGAAGGUCAGGGAAGGCCUGUCUUAGAAAGUGAUGCAUAAGCUAAGAGUUAAGAUGAGACCAAGCUAGUUAUGGCAAAAAUUAAGGAAAAAGCAACAUCAUACGCAAGGCAAUGAAAUAGGAAAGAGUUGAGAAAGUUCAAGUUUCUGAAAUAAGAUACAUGUAGCUGGAAUAUAGUGAAUAAAGAAGAAACCAGAAUGAGAUGUGACGGGAGAGAUAGGUAGAAGGGAGAUAAUAUAUGGCCUUGAAUGCUAUUAUUAGGAUUUUAAAUUUUAUUCUAAGUGCAAUAGAAAGUCAUUUUUUUAAAAGAUUGAACAAUAUAACCUGAUUUAUAUUUUAAGAUGAGUCCUGCUGCAGUGUGGGAAAUCGAUAGGAGGAGGGUAAGAAUAAAAUUGAGAAGACCGAGGGAGUGACAUCAGCCUCGUGGUGGAGUGAGUUAUUCCCUUUGAGUCUCCCAUCUAAGUUACAGCCAAUCAGACAUCCAUUGACCAACAAAGAACUUCCUGCACAGCACACCAGAACUCCUGAGAGAUUCACGCAUGUAAACAUCUGAAGGAAUUUGGUGACAAACAGACCAUUUCCAGCCACAGCAACAGAAUGAGGUAAGACAUAAUUUCCACAAGAUUGUCCCAUUUUAUGUAUUACUAUAAUAUAUGUAACUAGUGCCCAACUGAGUGAUAUUUAGGUUAUUUCUAGAGCGAAGAUGAACAGUGGGGUUGGAAGUAUUUCCUAUAACG
rnacentral:lncRNA from 1 species